rnacentral:rRNA from 1 species
UCCCUACGGGGGGCAGCAGUGGGGAAUAUUGCACAAUGGGGGGAACCCUGAUGCAGCGACGCCGCGUGGGCGAGGAAGUAUUUCGGUAUGUAAAGCCCUAUCGGCAGGGAAGAAGAAAUGACGGUACCUGAAUAAGAAGCACCGGCUAAAUACGUGCCAGCAGCCGCGGUAAUACGUAUGGUGCAAGCGUUAUCCGGAUUUACUGGGCGUAAAGGGAGCGCAGGCGGCGCGCCAAGUCUGAUGUGAAAACCCGGGGCUCAACCCCGGGCAUGCAUUUGAAACUUGCGGG